rnacentral:tRNA from 1 species
UAGAGAUAAGCUAAAUAAGCUGUUGGGUUCAUACCUCAAAAAUGUUUUUCUCUCUAA